AUACCCUGGUAGUCCACGCCGUAAACGUUGGGCGCUAGAUGUGGGGACCAUUCCACGGUUUCCGUGUCGCAGCUAACGCAUUAAGCGCCCCGCCUGGGGAGUACGGCCGCAAGGCUAAAACUCAAAGGAAUUGACGGGGGCCCGCACAAGCGGCGGAGCAUGCGGAUUAAUUCGAUGCAACGCGAAGAACCUUACCAAGGCUUGACAUACACGAGAACGCCCUAGAAAUAGGGAACUCUUUGGACACUCGUGAACAGGUGGUGCAUGGUUGUCGUCAGCUCGUGUCGUGAGAUGUUGGGUUAAGUCCCGCAACGAGCGCAACCCUCGUUCUAUGUUGCCAGCGCGUAAUGGCGGGAACUCAUAGGAGACUGCCGGGGUCAACUCGGAGGAAGGUGGGGAUGACGUCAAAUCAUCAUGCCCCUUAUGUCUUGGGCUUCACGCAUGCUACAAUGGCCGGUACAAAGGGCUGCAAUACCGUAAGGUGGAGCGAAUCCCAAAAAGCCGGUCUCAGUUCGGAUUGAGGUCUGCAACUCGACCUCAUGAAGUCGGAGUCGCUAGUAAUCGCAGAUCAGCAACGCUGCGGUGAAUACGUUCCCGGGCCUUGUACACA
rnacentral:rRNA from 1 species